rnacentral:rRNA from 1 species
AACUGGUGAGUAACACGUGGGAAACCUGCCCAGAAGCGGGGGAUAACACCUGGAAACAGAUGCUAAUACCGCAUAACAACUUGGACCGCAUGGUCCGAGYUUGAAAGAUGGCUUCRGCUAUCACUUUUGGAUGGUCCCGCGGCGUAUUAGCUAKAUGGUGRGGUAACGGCUCACCAUGGCAAUGAUACGUAKCCGACCUGAGAGGGUAAUCGGCCACAUUGGGACUGAGACACGGCCCAMWCUYMUACGGGAGGCAGCAGUAGGGAAUCUUCCACAAUGGACGAAAGUCUGAUGGAGCAACGCCGCGUGAGUGAAGAAGGGUUUCGGCUCGUAAAACUCUGUUGUUAAAGAAGAACAUAUCUGAGAGUAACUGUUCAGGUAUUGACGGUAUUUAACCAGAAAGCCACGGCUAACUACGUGCCAGCAGCCGCGGUAAUACGUAGGUGGCAAGCGUUGUCCGGAUUUAUUGGGCGUAAAGCGAGCGCAGGCGGUUUUUUAAGUCUGAUGUGAAAGCCUUCGGCUCAACCGAAGAAGUGCAUCGGAAACUGGGARACUUGAGUGCAGAAGAGGACAGUGGAACUCCAUGUGUAGCGGUGAAAUGCGUAGAUAUAUGGAAGAACACCAGUGGCGAAGGCGGCUGUCUGGUCUGUAACUGACGCUGAGGCUCGAAAGUAUGGGUAGCAAACAGGAUUAGAUACCCUGG